UCUGUAACCGUUAGGUUCCAAUAUUUACUUGUUGGCUCCACCGCAAGUCCAUUUCUCCCCCUUUUCCCCUACAAUACUAAGAACGUACACACUCACUUGCUGCAAAACACGAGUGAGUGAGUGUUCUACCUUCACACUCUACCAAGUGACGGACAAGCCGAGCAGUUUGAGCUUGGGCAGAAAAAAAAACAAAACAGCCCUGUUGUCAUGCUCACUCACAGAGGGCACUACGGGACAACAGGGGUGAGCAAACAUGAAACUUAAACAUAAAUGUCAAAUAUUAACAUUAUGCGGAAUGGCAUUAUAUAAAGGAAUCCCGCAGGAGGGAUUUUCCUUCUUUUCUCGAUCGUGAUCCUCGAAAGUAGUAGAAGUGCGCGCGCGAAUAUCAGAUAACUAUUGAGAGGUUAGAAACCUAAAGUGCCUCAGUUUGGUGAAAUUCUUUUUAAUUUAUAUGUUAUUUCUUUUCUAAUACGCUAGGAUCCGUACAUAAGUCAAGUGUUAAAAUGUGUUAUUACAUCACUUUGUAAAAUUGCUAAAAUAUGUGUUAAAAAUAAGUGUUAGUACGUUAAAUUACGACAUUGAACAAACAGAAAAAAACAAACGAGAACAAACAGUUAGAACAAAAACACAAGAAAAAGGUCCAUUGUAAAGGGCCUUUUUCUUUAUGUGCUUGAGUUUCUUCGACAGUGUGGUGCUGGACCGAUGUUUCCUGGAAGAACGCUUGUGCCUUGCAGGCCGAAACCCGUUUUGCUCUGAUACCAGCAGAGAGGUCCCGCCAGAUCUGUGAACCGGCCAUGCAAGAUUUGGCCCGCCAUCGCCCCGUUACAUACCGACGCCAUCUUCCAAAUCUCUCGGAAGACACACCUACUGGUUUC